GACGUAGGAUGCGAGCGUUUGUUCGGAAUUAUUGGGCGUAAAGCGUGCGUAGGCGGUCAUUCAAGUCUGGUGUUAAAGCUAGGGGCUCAACCCCUGUGUUGCACUGGAAACUGGAUGACUUGAGUGCGGUAGGGGAAGGUAGAAUUCCGAGUGUAGCGGUGAAAUGCGUAGAUAUUCGGAAGAAUACCGGUGGCGAAGGCGACCUUCUGGGCCGCAACUGACGCUGAGGCACGGAAAGCGUGGGGAGCAAACGGG
rnacentral:rRNA from 1 species